rnacentral:rRNA from 1 species
CGGAGACGGAUGGGCAUGCGGCGCAUUAGCUAGUUGGCGGGGUAACGGCCCACCAAGGCGACGAUGCGUAGGGGUUCUGAGAGGAAGGUCCCCCACACUGGUACUGAGACACGGACCAGACUCCUACGGGAGGCAGCAGUGAGGAAUAUUGGUCAAUGGGCGAGAGCCUGAACCAGCCAAGUCGCGUGAGGGAGUACUGCCCUAUGGGUUGUAAACCUCUUUUGUCGGGGAGCAAAAGCCGGACGUGUCCGGCUGUGAGAGUACCCGAAGAAAAAGCAUCGGCUAACUCCGUGCCAGCAGCCGCGGUAAUACGGAGGAUGCGAGCGUUAUCCGGAUUUAUUGGGUUUAAAGGGUGCGCAGGCGGAUUUUUAAGUCAGCGGUCAAAUCGUGGGGCUCAACCCCAUCCAGCCGUUGAAACUGGGGAUCUAGAGUGUGCGAGAGGUAUGCGGAAUGCGUGGUGUAGCGGUGAAAUGCAUAGAUAUCACGCAGAACCCCGAUUGCGAAGGCAGCAUACCGGUGCACAACUGACGCUCAGGCACGAAAGCGUGGGUAUCGAACAGGAUUAGAUACCCUGGUAGUCCACGCAGUAAACGAUGAAUGCUACCUGUUUGGCCAGAUUGAAGGCUGA